GUGCUUGAAUGUCCCGGGGGAGUCUCACAUCAUGCCCUGCAUUUACCUCGAUUUCUCGAUUGUUAAGGCUCUGUUCGCUUUUUUUGCCUAUAGUGUCUCUUUAAGCACGGCGGGUGCGCAAACGUCGUUUGUAUGUCGUUUGCACUAGGGUAUUCAUAGCAUCCAUCCAUUUGCAAAGCGACGCUUGCUCGGCUACCCAGACGCUCCGUGCGCGUACCCGCGUUAUCACAAGAUCUCGGCCUGCCAUGAAGUAGGAUGAUAGUUGUCCAGAGGUCGCCUUGGUUGCCACGCUUGCUUGUCAAUAUGGGUCGUCCACGUAUUGUGAGGACACCAUCGGAGGAGCGCGAGUUCAAGAUUAAACGUAAGGAAGCAAGGCGGGCCCGAAUACGUGCCCAGACGGAGGAACAACGUGCCGUUUCGCGUUCAAAGCACGCUGAACUUCAGCGCCGCAGGCGCCAAGAUGCGGCAUUGCGGGAACGUGAGGCCGAGGAAAGGCGACUACGCCGACAGGACCCCGUAAUUCGGUACCUGGAAGCGGCCAAACAUCGCGCCCGCCGUGAGGAUGCGGCAGUGCGGGAACGCGAGGCCGAGGCUAAGCGGCAACGCCGACAAGACCCCGCAGUUCGGCAGCAGGAAGCGUACGCACACCGCGCACGGCGGCAGGAUGCUGCAGUGCGGGAGCGCGAAGCCGAGGCAAACCGACGACGUCGACAGGACCCAGCAAUCCGGCGGCAGGAAGCGGACGCACAUCGUGCACGGCGCGAAGAUGCAGUUGUGCGGGAACGUGAGACCGAGGCAAGGCGUCAGCGACGGUUGAUAGAGCACACGGCACUAUUCGGAGGACAGAUCUUCAAUAACCCAUUUGGAUAUGCGUGCGAUGUUUGCCGUCGCCUUGGUUUUAAAGCAGACCUUUCGCCUAUCUGCGUUCCUCACGUGCCUCUGCUGAGUGCCGCGUUUCCGACCGAAGACGUGCCUUCCUUCAUGCUGUGCUCCACAUGCCACAGCGCACUGGAAAUGGGUACAAUUCCUGUGCCUCAUCGUUCCACAAGCGAUGAUAAAGAUUUACAGAGUGCUUUGCAGAACCUUGCUAAAGAAAUCUACUCCAAACAAAAUGCUCAAGAAGGCAAGGUUGACUGUUGCUUGCAGACAGAUGGCACUGGAAAGACUGAUUGCUUUGUGCAGACUGAAGGUGCCUCAAAGAAAACGUUUGAAGUGCCAACGGUGAAAUGCGUGAAGAUUGCUGCAGUGCAGACUGAAGAAUGUCCAGAAUUAAAGUUCUAUAAGCAUACCUGUGAUUCUGCUGAGUACGAGAGUGAAUGCCCUCUUGACCUGGGGGUAGAAAGUGAAGACUGGCUCUAACGUCAAACAAGGGCAGACGGUCUAACCACAAGGAAGGCAUCCUAUGCAGAUGCUGUCAGGGAUGCAUCAAUGUGGUCACAGUAUUAAUCGCGACCUUGAGCAAGAUGAUUGGCACUUUUGAGCAGGUGUGAUCAGCCGACUUGCCAGCCAUUUCAGCAAAAUAGCAGCUUGAUAAGGAUGCUCACUUCAAGCUCGCGCAAUGUUUCACGGGACCCACGCCGCCAAUUGCGAAAGGACUAACACUGGCGAAGGACCUUUUAUGCAUGACGUCUGCCAGGAGGACUUCUCUUGCGAACAAAGUUCUCGGCGUGCACCUGAGAAUUCACAUGUGGGAAAAGCCUCGCGAGUGCCCGGACUGUGGCAUGCAUUUGGCUGAAGCAUCCCACAUAUCAUGUCAUCGAAAGUUGCACCUAAGUGGUGGUUAAUGCUGUUACGUGUGUAUGCCGUACGACAAUAGCUCCAUGUGCAAGACCAUCCUCACCCAGAAUGUGAUACCCACUCGGACAAGAGACCACAUGCCUCGUUAAUGUAUGGAAAGAGGUUCACGCAAUGCAGCGGCGUCAAGAUGUAUGAAAAGAAUGUUGCAGAAGGUCUAGUACCCACUGCACUAUCUAUACUGCAAAGAAGGUUACUGGAGGAGAGUCAGACUAACAACCCAUGUGCAUGUUUGACACGGCAGCUCCACAUUCAGGGAGAGCUGAAAAGAUCGUGACCAUGAAAGGUGUAUUACUGAAGUGAGCAGCAGAAAGAAAAGCUUGGCAAGUUGAUCACUAAAUGAGAGAAAAGGAUAGUGAAAAAGCAAGUGUAGCCGACAAAAAGAUUGAAUUUCCAGUGGUGUGAAAAGGCACCUACUGGAGACAACAGGCCAAGUAGGGUGACUGGGAAGACAUGAGAAUCAAUAUUAUAGCCAGUUUGUGAAUAAACUUCAGUAUCAAGAAAAUUAUUCUGGAAAAAGCAGUGCUAAACUUGGGGCACGAGAGGACCCAGAAUGCUGUGCUGCGUACCAACUGAAAGGUUUGGUACGUACACAGUGGUACAUAAAUCUUAAUGUAGCUUAAUCAUAAAUUAAUGCAUAGAUGUGCAAAAAAAGCUAAACUUUGACAUUUUAAUCAACAAGACCACAUCAACAUUAAUAGGUGAGCACUUCUGCAGCUUGCUGCUUCAGGAAAUACUGCAUUACGCAAAUUUUGUGCGCCAAGUAACCUUUUUUUUUAAAUUUACACAAAAGAAAUUAUGAAACGGGGAUUAUCACAAGUUUAUCAAAAAUUUCACAAAGUAAGGUAUCUUGCAUGUGAGUGCUCAACAGUAUUCUUAGUAAAUAUGUUCUUAACACUGUAAAUCCACAGAAACAGUUCUCAGUCAAUCCACAUUCACAGAAAUAUAAUUGUUUACAUUGCAGCUGCAUAGGCAGAUUUAUCUGUAUUCUGUCAUUUUCUUGGGCACGCAUAUGCUAUCAAGAAUUUUUACCUACCCAUAAUGACUUGCGUGCCAAGAAAUAAACGUCGUACUGUCAUCUUGUGCCAUACGACUAUUAUCAUCUGGCUUGGUGACACAAAAUAUUAACAAGCCCGUAAUGAUGACUUGUUACCUAAUUGUACGUUGCGCAUAAGCACCAGGUGUCUGCAGAAUGCUGUUCCUUUACACACAAAUUCACACUUUGCAUUGUGCAGAAAACACAAUUUUUGUUGGUUACAGUCAAGAAACAAAGUCCUUGAAUUAACUUUCUGAACAUACUGUCAAAGCAUUGCAAUAAUGCAAUGAUGGUCUUCCUAUUGCCAUAAAAUAAUGAAGACUAGCUACCUCUACUGUGGGACAUGCUCACACUUGCCUUGUAAGCUGCAAAACACUGUCAUCGCUACUCUUUUAGAUACCUGCAACUAUGGCAAACCACUAAUGCUUGAACUACUGAAAUCAUGCUCGCACCUGCCCCAACCAAAAGCAUUAAAGAAACAAAGUAUCCAAUUAAAACUAACUGACAGGAUUUGUUUUAGCAAGUGCUUGUUUCUUGAACACAGUGCUGCUGAUGUACCUGCUCAUCAACUUUCAGGUGUGCAUUGACGAACUAGCACUUAUGAGGCACUGAUACCAUGUGCCUUGGUGAAGCCUAUGUUUUUAUUGUCGCACAGUAUUAUGGCGCUAUUCAACAGGAAAUGAUGACUUCUGCCAUACUCAGUUUCGGUACACACAUCUUUUUCUGCCUUAUAUGUAACUAUCUUUGUUUUGCGCGGUUUACGUGAGACACAAGAGGCUUCAUGAACCAGUGUAAACACCAAGUAUAACUUAUUGUCGCAAGUACAAUAGAGCAACUUUGCAUGAAUCCAUAGUGAACGGAAAGAAGUAGGAUGGGGGGGGGGGGACGAAAGACAAGCGCCUAUGCAUCUCUACAACUGUUUCUUCUUACUUUUGACGAUAAUUGCUCUUUGCAAACAAUAACUAGGUGAGCUGAAUUUGUUGUGCAGUUGUGCAGGCAGGCUAAGGCCGGUAAUGGGCUGUUUUAGUUCUCCUUAUUUCACUUAAAUGUAAUUUGCGUGAGAAAUUGAGGUAAAUGGCAUUUACCUCAAUUUCGUGCACAUGGAGGAAGGAAACUGAGGAGAGGUCCUACCCCCUCCGCGCGCUAGGAGAAAAGUGUAGAAAAAGUGACGUAGUGGGUUCCUUUUUUUUGCUGAUCUUUUAUUUAUUAG